rnacentral:lncRNA from 1 species
AAUGCAAUCUUAUUUUAUGCUUUUGACAACCCUGGGAAAUAGGUUCAAUCGUUAUCUCUAUUUUUAUAGAUGAAGAAAAUGAGACAAGCAGAGGUUAAGUGACUUCUCCAGAGUCACAAAGCUAAUAAGUAUUUGAGGCUGGAUUUAAACUCAUCUUCCUGACUCUAGGCCCAAUGUUCUAUCCACUGUACCACCUAGUUUCCAGUGUCACUGAAGAAUUUAAAAUUGGGGUUCUAAAGGACAAUGGAAAGACACAUGCCACUGCUUGGACAGCUCCUACCAGUCUCCCAUCCAGGAUCCUGGAGCACAAACCCUCAGCCAUUUGGAGAAAUUAAAAGCUUCUAUGCUCACAAUACUCCUGGACAAAAGGAACUGAUACAGGAUAAAAUAAGCAGAACCAGGAAAAAUUGUACAAUGAUUAAAUGUGGAAACUUGCUUUUUCUCAACAAUGCAAUGAUCUGGGACAAUCCUGAAAGAACUGUUAGAGUUGGAUGAAUGUGGAUGAAAGCAUACUAUUAUUCACAUCAGUGUACUUAUGGUUAUAUUUUGGAAUUUUUCUUCUGUCUUAGUGUGAUUUUACAACAAUGAGCGAUAUUGAAAUAUGCUUUGCAUGAUAAUAAAUAUAAAAAAUUUAAAAAUAGUUAAAAUAUU